rnacentral:tRNA from 1 species
CGCUCGUAGCUCAGUAGGAUAGAGCAUCGGUUUCCUAAACCGGGGGUCGCAGGUUCGAAUCCUGCCGGGCGCA